rnacentral:rRNA from 1 species
CCAACGGGUGGCAGCAGUGGGGAAUAUUGGGCAAUGGGCGCAAGCCUGACCCAGCAACGCCGCGUGAGGGAAGAAGGCUUUCGGGUUGUAAACCUCUGUCCUUGGUGACGAAAAAAAUGACGGUAGCCCAGGAGGAAGCCCCGGCUAACUACGUGCCAGCAGCCGCGGUAAUACGUAGGGGGCGAGCGUUGUCCGGAAUUACUGGGCGUAAAGGGUGCGCAGGUGGCCUUUUAAGUUGGAUGUGAAAUACCCGGGCUUAACUUGGGGGGUGCAUCUAAUACUGGAGGGCUAGAGUGCAGGAGAGGAAAGCGGAAUUCCUAGUGUAGCGGUGAAAUGCGUAGAUAUUAGGAGGAACACCAGUGGCGAAGGCGGCUUUCUGGACUGUAACUGACACUGAGGCACGAAAGCGUGGGGAGCAAACA